rnacentral:rRNA from 1 species
UACGGGGGGGGCAAGCGUUGUUCGGAAUUACUGGGCGUAAAGGGCUCGUAGGCGGUCAACUAAGUCGGACGUGAAAUCCCUCGGCUUAACCGGGGGACUGCGUCCGAUACUGGAUGGCUUGAGAUUGGGAGAGGGAUGCGGAAUUCCAGGUGUAGCGGUGAAAUGCGUAGAUAUCUGGAGGAACACCGGUGGCGAAGGCGGCGUCCUGGACCGACACUGACGCUGAGGAGCGAAAGCCGGGGGAGCAAACAGG